rnacentral:rRNA from 1 species
UAAAAUUACUCUGCGAAGGCAUCUGGCCAGGAUGUUUUCAUUAAUCAAGAACGAAAGUUAGGGGAUCGAAGACGAUCAGAUACCGUCGUAGUCUUAACCAUAAACGAUGCCGACCAGCGAUUAGGAGACGUUGAAUACAAAACACCACCAUCGGCGCGGUCGUCCUUGGCGCGUUCGUGUUCACGCACGGGCGCGCGAGGGCGGCUUAGCCCGGUGGCACCGGUGAAUGACUCCCUAGCAGCUUGUGAGAA